rnacentral:rRNA from 1 species
AGACGAACCGGACAAACGUUAUUCGGAAUCACUGGGCUUAAAGGGUACGUAGGCGGCGCGGCAAGUUGGGUGUGAAAUCCCUCGGCUCAACCGAGGAAUGGCGCCCAAAACUGCCGUGCUAGAGGGAGACAGAGGUGAGUGGAACUUAGGGUGGAGCGGUGAAAUGCGUUGAUAUCCUAAGGAACACCGGUGGCGAAAGCGACUCACUGGGUCUCUUCUGACGCUGAGGUACGAAAGCUAGGGGAGCGAACGGGAUUAGAAACCCCAGUAGUCC